AACGAACGUUAGCGGCGCGCUUAACGCAUGCAAGUCGCACGAGAAAGGGCUUCGGCCCCGGUACAGUGGCGCACGGGUGAGUAACACGUGGGUAACCUGCCCUCGAGCGGGGGAUAACAUUCCGAAAGGAGUGCCAAUACCGCAUAAGACCACGACCUCGAAAGAGGACGAGGUAAAAGCUGGCCUCUGUAUACACGCUACCACUUGAGGAUGGGCCCGCGGCGCAUCAGCUAGUCGGUAGGGUAACGGCCUACCAAGGCGAAGACGCGUAGCUGGUCUGAGAGGAUGAUCAGCCACACUGGAACUGAGACACGGUCCAGACUCCUACGGGAGGCAGCAGUGGGGAAUCUUGCGCAAUGGGCGAAAGCCUGACGCAGCGACGCCGCGUGGGUGAUGAAGGCCUUCGGGUUGUAAAGCCCUGUGGGGAGAGACGAAUAAGUGCAGGCCAAUACCCUGCAUGAUGACGGUAUCUCCUUAGCAAGCACCGGCUAACUCUGUGCCAGCCGCUGCCGUAAGAC
rnacentral:rRNA from 1 species